GACGAACGCUGGCGGCGUGCUUAACACAUGCAAGUCGAACGGAAGGGCCCUGCUUUUGUUGGGUUCUCGAUUGGCGCACGGGUGAGUAACACGUGAGUAACCUCUCCUUAACUUUGGGAUAACUUCAGGAAACUGGGGCUAAUACCGGAUAGGAGCUCCUGCUGCAUGGUGGUGGUUGGAAAGUUUCGGCGGUUGGGGAUAGACUCGCGGCUUAUCAGCUUGUUGGUCAGGUAGUUGCUUACCAAGGCUUUGACGGGUAGCCUGCCUGAGAGGGGGACCGGGGACAAGGGGACUGAGAUACGGCGCAGAAGCCUACGGGAGGCAGCAGUCGGGAAUAUUGCGCAGCGGGCGGAAGCGUGAGGCGGCAACGCCGCGAGCGUGAUGACCGGUUUCGGGUGGUGAACCGAUGUCGCCUGUGAUGAAGCGUGAGUGACGGUAAUGAGUAAAGAAGCAACGGCUAACUACGUG
rnacentral:rRNA from 1 species